UUUCCGUAGGUGAACCUGCGGAAGGAUCAUUAUUGUAUAACCGAGGUGCGAGGGCUGUCGCUGACCCGAAAGGUCGUGCACGCCUGAGUGCCCUCACACACAUCCAUCUCACCCCUAUAUGCACCACCGCGUGGGUCCCCCUUUGGCUUGUUCGGAGGGGGGCUUACGUUUUCACACAAACUUUGUAUGCAGUGUAGAAUGUAUUUUUUGUUUUUGCGAUCACGCAAUCAAUACAACUUUCAACAACGGAUCUCUUGGCUCUC
rnacentral:misc_RNA from 1 species